CCUACGGGUGGCUGCAGUGGGGAAUAUUGGACAAUGGGGGAAACCCUGAUCCAGCAAUGCCGCGUGUAUGAUGAAGGUCUUAGGAUUGUAAAGUACUUUUAUUGGUGACGAUGAUGACGGUAACCAAUGAAUAAGCUCCGGCUAACUUCGUGCCAGCAGCCGCGGUAAUACGAAGGGAGCUAGCGUUGUUCGGAAUAACUGGGCGUAAAGGGUGCGUAGGUGGGCGUGUGCGUUAGAUGUGAAAUCCCCGGGCUUAACCUGGGAAAUGCAUUUAGUACGGCACGUCUAGAGUGCGAGAGGGGAAAGCGGAAUGGCGAGUGGAGCAGUGAAAUGCAUUGAGAUUCGCUAGAACACCAGAGGCGAAGGCGGCUUUCUGGCUCGCUACUGACACUAAGGCACGAAAGCGUGGGGAGCAAACAGGAUUAGAUACCCUGGUAGUCGGU
rnacentral:rRNA from 1 species